rnacentral:rRNA from 1 species
GAUGAACGCUAGCGGCAGGCCUAACACAUGCAAGUCGAGGGAGAAGCCCUUUCGGGGGCAGAAACCGGCGCACGGGCGCGUAACGCGUAUGCAACCUACCCUUCACAGGGGGAUAGCCCGAAGAAAUUUGGACUAAUACUCCAUAAUAUUAUUGGAUGGCAUCACUUGAUAAUUAAAACUGCGGUGGUUAAAGUUGGGCAUGCGUCCUAUUAGCUAGUUGGAGUGGUAACGGCACCCCAAGGCUACGAUAGGAAGGGGUCCUGAGAGGGAGAUCCCCCACACUGGGACUGAGACAGGGACCAGACUGCUACGGGAGGCAGCAGUAAGGAAUGUAGGUGAAUGGUCGGAAGACUGAACCAGCCAUGCCGCAUGCAGGAAGGAUGCGUUAUGGAUUGUAAACUGCUUUUAGAUAAGAAGAAUAAGGCGUACGUGUGCGUUGAUGACGGUACCAGAUGAAUAAGCAUCGGCUAACUCCGUG